rnacentral:lncRNA from 1 species
GUCAGUGCACGUUAUCAUUCUUGUUAGUUCUAAGUGAAUUCCCUCGGUAUGAUAAUUUGUUCAUCAGUUUGUUCCCCGUUUCUUCUCUAGCCUGAGCCUGACACACUAUUCUAGCUAGACAUGGGUGUGGCUCGUAACACCUGAUGACCAAACGGAUCUACGACACCAUCGAAUCUCAAACUUUAACUACCAAAACUAUUGUUUUUCAUCCUCUAGUCCCUUUUAGAAUUACUAAACGUCCUUUUUUGGGCCGAGAUUUCCAGGAACGCUUUCUCGGGGUUUGUGUGCAUGUAUUUCAAACCAUACAGACCUAAAAAUUAGAAGUCAUUCCAUCUUUAUUCCCGUAGAGCCUUCCAGCAGUUCCUAAACCGCUCCAGUCGGAGCAUGUUAUCAUUCUUGUUUGUUCUGAGUGAAUUCCCUCGGUAUGAUAAUUCUAUCAUCAGUUUGUUCCCCGUUUCUUCUCUAGCCUGAGCCUGGCAAACUAUUCNNNNNNNNNNNNNNNNNNNNNNNNNNNNNNNNNNNNNNNNNNNNNNNNNNNNNNNNNNNNNNNNNNNNNNNNNNNNNNNNNNNNNNNNNNNNNNNNNNNNNNNNNNNNNNNNNNNNNNNNNNNNNNNNNNNNNNNNCUAAACCGCUCUAGUCGGAGCACGUUAUCAUUCUUGUUAGUUCUGAGUGAAUUCCCUCGGUAUGAUAAUUCUUUCAUCAGUUUGUUCCCUGUUUCUUCUCUAGCCUGAGCCUGACACACUAUUCUAGCUAGACAUGGGUGUGGCUCGUAACACCUAAUGACCAAACGGAUCGACGGCACCAUCGAAUCUCAAACUUUAACUGCCAAAACUAUUGUUUUUCAUCCUGUUGUCCCAUUUAGAAUUACUAAACGUCCUUUUUUGGGCCGAGAUUUAGAGGAACGCUUUCUCGGGGUUUGUGUGCAAGUAUUUCAAACCAUACGGACCUAAAAAUUAGAAGUCAUUCCAUCUUUAUUCCCCUAGAGCCUUCCAGCAGUUCCUAAACCGCUCAAGUCAGAGCAUGUUAUCAUUCUUGUUAGUUCUGAGUGAAUUCCCUCGGUAUGAUAAUUCUUUCAUCAGUUUGUUCCCUGUUUCUUCUCUAGCCUGAGCCUGACACACUAUUCUAGCUAGACAUGGGUGUGGCUCGUAACACCUGAUGACCAAACGGAUCUACGACACCAUUGAAUCUCAAACUUUAACUACCAAAACUAUUAUUUUUCAUCCUGUAGUCCCUUUUAGAAUUACUAAACGUCCUUUUUUGGGCCGAGAUUUCCAAGAACGCUUUCUCGUGGUUUGUGUGCAAGUAUUUCAAACCAUACAGACCUAAAAAUUAGAAGUCAUUCCAUCUUUAUGCCCGUAGAGCCUUCCAGCAGUUCCUAAACCGCUCCAGUCGGAGCACGUUAUCAUUCUUAUUAGUUCUGAGUGAAUUCCCUCAGUAUGAUAAUUCUUUCAUAAGUUUGUUCCCCAUUUCUUCUCUAGCCUGAGCCUGGCACACUAUUCUAGCUAGACAUGGGUGUGGCUCAUAACACUUGUUGACUAAAUGGAUCGACGGCACCAUCGAAUCUCAAACUUUAACUGCCAAAACUAUUGUUUUUCAUCCUGUAGUCCCAUUUAGAAUUAUUAAACGUCCUUUUUUGGGCCGAUAUUUAGAGUAAUGCUUUCUCGGGGUUUGUCUGCAAGUAUUUCAAACCAUACGGACCUAAAAAUUAGAAGUCAUUCCAUCUUUAUUCCCCUAGAGCCUUCCAGCAGUUCCUAAACCGCUCUAGUCGGAGCACGUUAUCAUUCUUGUUAGUUCUGAGUGAAUUCCCUCAGUAUGAUAAUUCUUUCAUCUGUUUGUUCCCCGUUUCUUCUCUAGCCUGAGCCUGACACACUAUUCAAGCUAGACAUGGAUGUGGCUCGUAACACCUGAUGACCAAACGGAUCUACGGCACCAUCGAAUCCCAAACUUUAACUGCCAAAACUAUUGUUUUUCAUCCUGUAGUCCCUUUUAGAAUUACUAAACGUCCUUUUUUGGGCCGAGAUUUCCAGGAAUGCUUUCUCGGGGUUUGUGUGCAAGUAUUUCAAACCAUACAAAGCUAGAAAUUAGAAGUCAUUCCAUCUUUAUUAUCGUAGAGCCUUCCAGCAGUUCCUAAACCGGUCUAGUCGGAGCACGUUAUCAUUCUAGUUAGUUCUGAGUGAAUUCCCUCGGUAUGAUAAUUCUUUCAUCAGUUUGUUCCCCGUUUCUUCUCUAGCCUGAGCCUGACAAACUAUUCUAGCUAGACAUGCGUGUGGCUCGUAACACCUGAUGACCAAACGGAUCUAUAGCACCAUCGAAUCUCAAACUUUAACUGCCAAAACUAUUGUUUUCAUCCUGUAGUCCCUUUUAGAAUUACUAAACUUCCUUUUUUGGGCCGAGAUUUAGAGGAACGCUUUCUGGGGUUUGUGUGCAAGUAUUUCAAACCAUACAGACCUAAAAAUUAGAAGUCAUUCCAUCUUUAUUCCCCUAGAGCCUUCCAGCAGUUCCUAAACCGCUCUAGUCGGAGCACGUUAUCAUUAUUGUUAGUUCUGAGUGAAUUCCCUCGGUAUGAUAAUUCUUUCAUCAGUUUGUUCCCUGUUUCUUCUCUAUCCUGAGCCUGACACACUAUUCUAGCUAGACAUGGGUGUGGCUCGUAACACCUGAUGACUAAAUGGAUCGACGGCACCAUCGAAUCUCAAACUUUAACUGCCAAAACUAUUGUUUUUCAUCCUGUAGUCCCAUUUAGAAUUAGUAAACGUCCUUUUUUGGGCCGAGAUUUAGAGGAACGCUUUCUCGGGGUUUGUGUGCAAGUAUUUCAAACCAUACGGACCUAAAAAUUAGAAGUCAUUCCAUCUUUAUUCCCCUAGUCAUCAGGUAUACACUCAAGUCGGAGCACGUUAUCAUUCUUGUUAGUUCUGAGUGAAUUCCCUCGGUAUGAUAAUUCUUUCAUAAAUUUGUUCCCCGUUUCUUAUAUGGCCUGAGCCUGACACACUAUUCUAGCUAGACAUGGGUGUGGCUCGUAACACCUGAUGACCAAACGGAUCUACGGCACCAUCAAAUCUCAAACUUUAACUGCCAAAACUAUUCUUUUUCAUUCUGUAGUCCCUUCUAGAAUUACUAAACGUCCUUUUUUGGGCCGAGAUUUCCAGGAACGCUUUCUCGGGGUUUGUGUGCAUGUAUUUCAAACCAUACAGACCUAAAAAUUAUAAGUCAUUCCAUCUUUAUUCCCGUAGAGCCUUCCAGUAGUUCCUAAACCGCUCCAGUCGGAGCAUGUUAUCAUUCUUGUUAGUUCUAAGUGAAUUCCCUCGGUAUGAUAAUUCUUUCAUCAGUUUGUUCCCCGUUUCUUCUCUAGCCUGAGCCUGGCACACUAGUCUAGCUAGACAUGGGUGUGGCUCGUAACACCCGAUGACUAAAUGGAUCGACGGCACCAUCGAAUCUCAAACUUUAACUGCCAAAACUAUUGUUUUUCAUCCUGUAGUCCCAUUUAGAAUUACUAAACGUCCUUUUUUGGGCCGAGAUUUAGAGGAACGCUUUCUCGUGGUUUGUGUGCAAGAAUUUCAAACCAUACGGACCUAAAAAUUAGAAGUCAUUCCAUCUUUAUUCCCCUAGAGCCUUCCAGUAGUUCCUAAACCGCUCUAGUCGGAGCACGUUAUCAUUCUUGUUAGUUCUGAGAGAAUUCCCUCGGUAUGAUAAUUCUUUUAUCAGUUUGUUCCCCGUUUCUUCUCUAGCCUGAGCCCGACACACUAUUCUAGCUAGACAUGGGUGUGGCUCGUAACACCUGAUGACCAAACGGAUCUACGGCACCAUCGAAUCUCAAACUUUAACUGCCAAAACUAUUGUUUUUCAUCCUGUAGUCCCUUUUAGAAUUACUAAAUGUCCUUUUUUGGGCCGAGAUUUCCAGGAACGCUUUCUCAGGGUUUGUGUGCAAGUAAUUCAAACCAUACGGACCUAAAAAUUAGAAGUCAUUCCAUCUUUAUUCCCCUAGAGCCUUCCAGCAGUUCCUAAACCGCUCAAGUCAGUGCACGUUAUCAUUCUUGUUAGUUCUAAGUGAAUUCCCUCGGUAUGAUAAUUUGUUCAUCAGUUUGUUCCCCGUUUCUUCUCUAGCCUGAGCCUGACACACUAUUCUAGCUAGACAUGGGUGUGGCUCGUAACACCUGAUGACCAAACGGAUCUACGACACCAUCGAAUCUCAAACUUUAACUACCAAAACUAUUGUUUUUCAUCCUCUAGUCCCUUUUAGAAUUACUAAACGUCCUUUUUUGGGCCGAGAUUUCCAGGAACGCUUUCUCGGGGUUUGUGUGCAUGUAUUUCAAACCAUACAGACCUAAAAAUUAGAAGUCAUUCCAUCUUUAUUCCCGUAGAGCCUUCCAGCAGUUCCUAAACCGCUCCAGUCGGAGCAUGUUAUCAUUCUUGUUUGUUCUGAGUGAAUUCCCUCGGUAUGAUAAUUCUAUCAUCAGUUUGUUCCCCGUUUCUUCUCUAGCCUGAGCCUGGCAAACUAUUCUAGCUAGACAUGGGUGUGGCUCGUAACACCUGAUGACCAAACGGAUCUACGACACCAUCGAAUCUCAAACUUUAACUACCAAAACUAUUGUUUUUCAUUCUAUAGUCCCUUCUAGAAUUUCUAAACGUCCUUUUUUGGGCCGAGAUUUCCAGGAAUGCUUUCUCGGGGUUUGUGUGCAAGUAUUUCAAAUCAUACGGACCUAAAAAUUAGAAGUCAUUCCAUCUUUAUUCCCCUAGAGCCUUCCAGUAGUUCCUAAACCGCUCCAGUCGGAGCACGUUAUCAUUCUUGUUAGUUCAUAGUGAAUUCCCUCGGUAUGAUAAUUCUUUCAUCAGUUUGUUCCCCGUUUCUUCUCUAGCCUGAGCCUGGCACAGUAUUCUAGCUAGACAUGGGUGUGGUCGUAACACCUGAUGACUAAAUGGAUCGACGGCACCAUCGAAUCUCAAACUUUAACUGCCAAAACUAUUGUUUUUCAUCCUGUAAUCCCAUUUAGAAUUACUAAACGUCCUUUUUUGGGCCGAGAUUUAGAGGAACGCUUUGUUGGGGUUUGUGUGCAAGUAUUUCAAACCAUACGGACCUAAAAAUUAGAACUCAUUCCAUAUUUAUUCCCCUUGAGCCUUCCAGCAGUUCCUAAACCGCUCUAGUCGGAGCACGUUAUCAUUCUUGUUAGUUCUAAGAGAAUUCCCUCGGUAUGAUAAUUCUUUUAUCAGUUUGUUCCCCGUUUCUUCUCUAGACUGGGCCCGACACACUAUUCUAGCUAGACAUGGGUGUGGCUCGUAACACCUGAUGACCAAACGGAUCUACGGCACCAUCGAAUCUCAAACUUCAACUGCCAAAACUAUUGUUUUUCAUCCUGUAGUCCCUUUUAGAAUUACUAAACGUCCUUUUUUGGGCCGAGAUUUCCAGGAACGCUUUCUCGGGGUUUGUGUGCAAGUAUUUCAAACCAUACGGACCUAAAAAUUAGAAGUCAUUCCAUCUUUAUUCCCGUAGAGCCAUCCAGCAGUUCCUAAACCGCUCCAGUCGGAGCACGUUAUCAUUCUUGUUAGUUCUGAGUGAAUUCCCUCGGUAUGAUAAUUCUUUCAUCAGUUUGUUCCCCGUUUCUUCUCUAGCCUGAGCCUGACAAACUAUUAUAGCUAGACAUGGGUGUGGCUCGUAACACCUGAUGACCAAACGGAUCUAUGGCACCAUCGAAUCUCAAACUUUAACUGCCAAAACUAUUGUUUUUCAUCCUGUAGUCCCUUUUAGAAUUACUAAACGCCCUUCUUUGGGACGAGAUUUCCAGGAACGCUUUCUCGGGGUUUGUGUGAAAGUAAUUCAAACCAUACGGACCUAAAAAUUAGAAGUCAUUCCAUCUUUAUUCCCGUGGAGCCUUCCAGUAGUUCCUAAACCGCUCCAGUCGGAGCACGUUAUCAUUCUUGUUAGUUCUGAGUGAAUUCCCUCGGUAUGAUAAUUCUUUCAUCAGUUUGUUCCCUGUUUCUUCUCUAGCCUGAGCCUGGCACACUAUUCUAGCUAGACAUGGGUGUGGCUCGUAACACCUGAUGACUAAACUGAUCAAUGACACCAUCGAAUCUCAAACUUUAACUGCCAAAACUAUUGUUUUUCAUCCUGUAGUCCCAUUUAGAAUUACUAAACGUCCUUUUUUGGGCCGAGAUUUCCAGGAACGCUUACUCGGGGUUUGUGUGCAAGUAUUUCAAACCAUACUGACCUAAAAAUUAGAAGUCAAUCCAUCUUUAUUCCCCUAGAGCCUUCCAGCAGUUCCUAAACCGCUCCAGUCGGAGCACGUUAUCAUUCUUGUUAGUUCUGAGUGAAUUCCCUCGGUAUGAUAAUUCUUUCAUCAGUUUGUUCCUUGUUUCUUCUCUAGCCUGAACCUGACACACUAUUCUAGCUAGACAUGGGUGUGGCUCGUAACACCUGAUGACCAAACGGAUCUACGGCACCAUCGAAUCUCAAACUUUAACUGCCAAAACUAUUAUUUUUAAUCCUCUAGUCCCAUUUAGAAUUACUAAACGUCCUUUUUUGGGCCGAGAUUUAGAGGAACGCUUUCAUGCGGUUUGUGUGCAAGUAUUUCAAACCAUACGGACCUAAAAAUUAGAAGUCAUUCCAUCUUUAUUCCCCUAGAGCCUUCCAGCAGUUCCUAAACCGCUCCAGUCGGAGCAUGUUAUCAUUCUUGUUAGUUCUGAGUGAAUUCCCUCGGUAUGAUAAUUCUUUCAUCAGUUUGUGGCCCGUUUCUUCUCUAGCCUGAGCCUGACACACUAUUCUAGCUAGACGUGGGUGUGGCUCGUAACACCUGAUGACCAAACGGAUCUACGGCACCAUCGAAUCUCAAACUUUAAGUGCCAAAACUAUUAUUUUUAAUCCUGUAGUCCCAUUUAGAAUUACAAAAAUGUCCUUUUUUGGGCUGAGAUUUCCAGGAACGCUUUCGUGCGGUUUGUGUGCAAGUAUUUCAAACCAUACAGACCAAAAAAUUAGAAGUCAUUCCAUCUUUAUUCC